rnacentral:rRNA from 1 species
GUGGGGAAUCUUGCGCAAUGGGCGAAAGCCUGACGCAGCCAUGCCGCGUGAAUGAUGAAGGUCUUAGGAUUGUAAAAUUCUUUCACCGGGGACGAUAAUGACGGUACCCGGAGAAGAAGCCCCGGCUAACUUCGUGCCAGCAGCCGCGGUAAUACGAAGGGGGCUAGCGUUGCUCGGAAUUACUGGGCGUAAAGGGCGCGUAGGCGGACAGUUUAGUCAGAGGUGAAAGCCCAGGGCUCAACCUUGGAAUUGCCCUUGAUACUGGCUGUCUUGAGUACGGGAGAGGUGAGUGGAACUCCGAGUGUAGAGGUGAAAUUCGUAGAUAUUCGGAAGAACACCAGUGGCGAAGGCGACUCACUGGCCCGUUACUGACGCUGAGGCGCGAAAGCGUGGGGAGCAAACAGGAUUAGAUACCCUUGUAGUCC